AAAGAAACCAGGGUUAAUUUAUUGCAGUACAUUCAGGUUGGCUAAAAAUGUCAGAGGAGCCCUGAUGCUCAAGUUUUUGGGUUCAGGGGUGUUGAUUUAGGUUGGGGGUGUCCUCAGUGCACUGCUAAACCUCCUGCUGCCUUCUGCUGAAGGCUCUUCCCUACAGUAACACAAACACAACCCCUAAAUUUGUGCUAAAAAACUACACUAAAAUUAAUUAUGUGAUAAAUUAAGUAAUCAUGGAAAAACACAGGGCAGGUUCCAUGCACUGGGCAAGUGAUUAAUGGUCUUUCCUUGUACCUCUGCUUCUAAACCCACAAUACUUAGUCAUAAUUUAAUCAAGAGACAUCCAACAGGGUGUUUUACUUCCAGGGAGGGAAGGGCUCAGUGCAGUGUGUUCUGAUGCUCGUUUAUGAGCCUGGUGAUAGUAAACCUCCAGCCCUGUGACAAAAAGGGAUCCAGACACGGAUUCCAGUCUCAGCACAGGUUUAGGAUCUCUUUAAGGCAAUUUGAAAAGCUGCAAGUGUUGCUGGUGCCACUGGGAACAGUGGGAGCAGAUGGUGGGGCGGGAUGAGUGGCAGCCGUCAGCACGGGGAUGCAGGUGUGAAAGUGACAAGGGCUCCGUGAUGGCUCGCCGGGAACGGGAACGUGCUGCUGCUGACGGAGCAGAUCCCAUCAGCUGCGGGAAGAGGAGUGACUGAGGAGUCCAAAAAAAGAUUUGAGUGAAAUGAAGCUGCCUGAGCUAAGCACCAGUGGCCCUGCCCAGCCUGUGCUCCCAAGGGGCUCAAACAAUAAAGACUGACUCUGUUAGUAACAGUUAUUUUGCAGAACAAGCCUAGAGAUCUAAUAAAAAACACAUAAAAAUCCAAAUCCACCAUUUUUUUCUUUCCCUGCAGACCCCAAGGAUCCACCAGCAACAAACUGACACUCCAAGGUGGUGGCUAUGGCUGAGGAGAGCACGGCUACUGACCAUGAGCAGCUCCUGAGGAGGGUGCAGGAGCUGGAAGUGGAGGUGAAGCGGCUGCAGGAGAAGCUCCAGGAGGACAAGGAGGGUGCAGGGAGGAAAGAGGCUCCUCCAGCCCCUGGGAAAGCCAGGAAACGCCAACAACGGCCCUUUGAUUUCGGUGCCCACAGCCGCAGACACGUGGCACUGCGCAUUGCCUACCUGGGCUGGGGCUACCAGGGCUUUGCCAGCCAGGAGAACACCCCCAACACCAUCGAGGAGAAGCUCUUUGAAGCCCUGAAGAAGACGCGGCUGGUGGACGACAGACAGACGUCCAACUACCACCGCUGCGGGCGCACGGACAAGGGUGUCAGCGCCUUCGGGCAGGUGAUCUCCCUGGAUCUCCGCUCCAGCCUGCCAGAGGGGCAGCAGCUCAACGGCCACGAGGGCGAGGGGCAGCAGGAGGAGCUCCGUUACACCCACAUCCUGAACAGGGUGCUGCCGCCCGACAUCCGGGUGCUGGCCUGGGCCCCCGUGGGGCCGGAGUUCAGCGCCCGCUUCAGCUGCCUGAGCCGGACCUACCGGUACUUCUUCCCCUGCGCCCAGCUGGACGUGGCCCUCAUGGACACCGCGGCCCAGCGCUACGUGGGCACCCACGACUUCCGCAACCUCUGCAAGAUGGACGUGGCCAACGGGGUGCUCAACUUCCAGAGGACGAUCCUCAGCGCCAGAGUGACAUGGGUGGACAGGGGAGGAGAAGCCAGGCCACGGGAUCCCUUCCGGCUGUGCCAGUUCGAGGUGACAGGGCAGGCAUUCCUGUACCACCAAGUCCGCUGCAUGAUGGCCGUGCUCUUCCUCAUUGGCCAGGGCAUGGAGAGCCCAGAUGUCAUUGAUGAGCUGCUGAAUGUGGAGAAGAACCCCCGGAAACCACAGUACAGCAUGGCGGUCGAGUUCCCCCUGGUCCUGUACAACUGCGAGUUCCCAGACCUGCAGUGGCUCUACGACCCAGAGGUGCAGGGCUUCAACGUGACACACUUGCAGCAGCUCUGGGCCAGCCACGCCGUCAAAACCCACGUGCUCCGGGACAUGUUGGCAGGGCUGGAUGCUGCUCCCAUGGCCAUCAGAAAAGAUUCAGGGAGCAGCCUGGUGCCCUGGAGUGAGCUGCAGCCCCCACUCCACAGCCAGAUCAGCGGCUUCGUGGAAGGGGUCCAAGCCCGCACCUACAAGCCCCUGCUGGCCCGGCCCAGAUGCGAGGGGCUGGAGGCCCGGAUCGAGCACUUCGUGCGGAGGGGCCGCAUCGACCCGCCCCAGGGCCCGGGGCUGCCGGGGGACUGGGCCGGGGAGCCCCCCGAGGGCAAGCGGGGCAGCAGCGCAGCCCCCGAGCAGCUGCCCAAGAGGAUGUGUAUGGACACCGAGUGACGGGGCACCUCGGCGGGGAGCAGCUGACGCUUCAUCCUUUUUUAAAAUUACUGCGCUCCGCGGUGCCGCACCCGCGGCGCCGCCAUUGGCCAGCAGAGGGAGGCGGAGAAGGAGGUGGAAGAUGGCGGC